UAAAAUGUGUUUAAUUGUCAUGAUAACUCAUAAUGGAUAGUAGUUAAUAGGUUUGAUUUUCUUCAUCAUUCGGUUGUUCUGGUGAAGUUUGUCCGUGUGUUUGACCCGUCUCUUCCCGUUUCCUCCCUCUUCUCUCGUUAUCACGGAGCUGUUUUCUGCGUGGCGCAGAUGGUUCGGACACACGCUGCUGCGUUAAGACUCAAGUGAUGUGUGUGUGUGUGUGUGAUAUUUUUCAGCUCGGUAUCCUCCUGCACGGCUCCUCUCUGAAUUGGAGACUUCUCUCUAAAUGCGUCCGGUUCAAUCUGCUUCCGUGCAGUCCCCGUCCAAAGCGCCAUCACGAGGCCGAAAGUGACGCGUUUGCAGAAUCUCUGGGCUGAUAUUAAAAGAAUGUCGAUAAGCCAAAAACUGUCUGGGGUUCCUCCACAGAGAACAGGUUUGUACUGAUGAAGUGUUUAUGAAGCGCUUGAGGAACCAGAAUAUGAUCAUCAGUCAACACUCACGACUGCGGAUGGAGAACUGGGUUAAUGUGAUGCUCUGACGAAGGUGGGUCACUUUAUUAUACAUCACGAGGUGCUCAUGUCCUCAUCAUAUAUGCUUUUAUAUACUGGAAUCCAUACUUGAGUGUUUUAUCCACUUAAAGGUCAUUGAAACGUGUCUUUCAGGUGUCAGAUCCUGUCUGAUUGUGAUCCAGUAAAGGUCAGAAUAAGGUCAUAUUUUCACUGUAGCAGACUAUAUGAGCGUCAAAUAUGAACUCAACAAAAACACACAUGCAAAUCUUUCUAUGUUAGUCUGUACGUUCAGUAAAGUGUUCCGAAACUAAACUAUUAUUCAGGAUUUACAGGGUUAACGACAUCAUCCUCCAGGGAGUGACAUCAUUUUGGAGGGAAAUGUAUCAGGAAGUAUCAGUGUAUUUGAAUGAUCUGAUGAAAUGUGAAUCUUGAAUGCAAACGUAAGUGCAAAUGUAAAUAGUCAUCAUUGAGUUCAAAUUACAACAUUUUUAAAGUUACUAAUGUUUUAGCCACUAAUGAGCCGUCUCUCUCUGUGUUUUCUCUCUUGCUGCUCUGUUGGAGAUGUAGGAGUAAUGUGAGGAGCGAGAGCGAGACGAAGACCUCUUCAGGUGGAGAUCAGUGAUGGAGCAUCUUCUCGUCAGGUGUGUGACUCUUCUUAUAGAUGCAGAACCCGAGUGCUGUCAGAUACAGAUCUAAAGACACAUAACGGUGGUAAUCUGCACUAAACCGCAGGACGCUGCUGCUCUGAUGCUUUUACAGAGAAGCUCUUCAAUAAAGUGUAUUCCAGCAGAUGUGGAGAUGUUGCUCCAGUGAACACCAGCAGCACAGAUGAGCAGAAACCAUCCCAACACACUUCGAGCUGGUCUGGAUCCUCUGCCUUCAGAUGAGUGUGAGUCGACCAGAGCUGAAUUACUUCUCUGAAAUCAACCUUGCCAAAGACAAAGGCCCUGGUGUCUCCGGAGACUCUGUGUUCCUGACCCCGGGGCCCGAGAGCAUGUUUCUCACACGGCACGCUCCUUCACCUCCGCGCUGCAUGUAAAGAAGCCCAGCGUCUCCCAGCAAAGACCGAAGCCAGACAAAUAAGACGUACAAGAUUAGAAUACAGAAUUCUGACACCUUAAUGUAUGCGGCUCACCUAAUACACGCUCCAUCUCAAUUAAGCUCAGAUUUGAGACUAGCGGAGCGCUCUCGACUCUCACAGAAGUUCAUCAAUCUUAGCAGCUCUUUCUCAGCAACAAAAUAGAGCGGGGCAAAUUUCUUGCAUUUAAUUAAUGUAGUGCUUCCUUUACUGCUGUUCAGCAUCUUUCCAGCUUCAGUGGAAAGCGCCAAGAGAGAUUAAGUGAAAAGCGGCGAGGAGAACAGCAAAGAUCGGCAAACUCUGAAAUGAAUGUCUCGAGUUUGGCACUUAUGAUGGAUGAGCGGAGAAUGCUGUUUGUCUGCUGCUAGCUAGCCUAGCACAGCGCUUAGCAUGGAUAGCAGCACCUAUAGAUAAUGCAUGUAUAGGUGUGUCAUUCAACAGAGGGGCGGAGCCAUAACCCGUCUCUAAUGAGGCAUGUAUGUAUACACUUCUAUGGCAGCGCUGCUAACCGUGUAAUUAGAGCUUAAUGAGUGAACCGUCAGUGGUAGAGUCACAUGAUGUUGGAAUUGUGUUCAUGAUUAUUAUUUGCUGCAGAUAUCUCAAGUCUCAGAGCGCAAUAGUUGCAGCAUCCAGCAAACCGCAGGUUAACAGCUCAUUCACACACAUCAGCGUCUCUUCCACACAAAUGUCUAACUUUCUGUUUUGUUUUGUUUUGUUUGGACUUUUUAAACUUUUAAUGCAUGCAAUAUGAUGCUUUUUGGAUAUGUACUCUGGUAAUACCACAUUUUACUGUGUAAAAGUAUUGCAUAUAUAAGGUGAAAUUAUAUAAACUGAUGAUAAAAGGCAAGAGAAUGUACCACGAAAGCAACAAUAAACCUACAAAUAGACUGGU